rnacentral:rRNA from 1 species
CUUGGUCAUUUAGAGGAAGUAAAAGUCGUAACAAGGUUUCCGUAGGUGAACCUGCGGAAGGAUCAUUCAUAAUAAGUGUUUUAUGGCACUUUUUUAAAUCCAUAUCCACCUUGUGUGCAAUGUCAGGGUUGGUCUCUUGAAAAAGAGAUCAGCCCCAAACAUCAACCCAAUCUUAACUCUUUGUCUGAAAAAUAUUAUGAAUAAAACAAUUCAAAAUACAACUUUCAACAACGGAUCUCUUGGCUCUCGCAUCGAUGAAGAACGCAGCGAAAUGCGAUACGUAAUGUGAAUUGCAGAAUUCAGUGAAUCAUCGAAUCUUUGAACGCAUAUUGCGCUCUUUGGUAUUCCGAAGAGCAUGCUUGUUUGAGUAUCAGUAAACACCUCAAAGCCUUUUUUUGUUAAGAGGCCUUGGACUUGAGCAAUCCCAACACUUUUCCUCCAAGAAAAGUGGCGGGUUGCUUGAAAUGCAGGUGCAGCUGGACAUUCUCCUGAGCUAAAAGCAUAUUCAUUUAGUCCCGUCAAACGGAUUAUUACUUUUGCUGCAGCUAACAUAAAGGGAGUUUGACCAUUUUGGCUGACUGAUGCAGGAUUUUCACAAGAGUCUUCAAAAGCUUUUGUUAAACUCGAUCUCAAAUCAAGUAAGACUACCCGCUGAACUCAAGCAUAUCAAUAAGCGGAGGA